rnacentral:rRNA from 1 species
CCUACGGGUUGCACCAGUGGGGAAUAUGGGACAAUGGGCGAAAGCCUGAUCCAGCAAUGCCGCGUGAGUGAUGAAGGCCUUAGGGUUGUAAAGCUCUUUUACCCGGGAUGAUAAUGACAGUACCGGGAGAAUAAGCCCCGGCUAACUCCGUGCCAGCAGCCGCGGUAAUACGGAGGGGGCUAGCGUUGUUCGGAAUUACUGGGCGUAAAGCGCGCGUAGGCGGCUUUGUAAGUUAGAGGUGAAAGCCCGGGGCUCAACUCCGGAAUUGCCUUUAAGACUGCAUCGCUAGAAUCGUGGAGAGGUUAGUGGAAUUCCGAGUGUAGAGGUGAAAUUCGUAGAUAUUCGGAAGAACACCAGUGGCGAAGGCGACUAACUGGACACGUAUUGACGCUGAGGUGCGAAAGCGUGGGGAGCAAACAGGAUUAGAUACCCGUGUAGUC